rnacentral:rRNA from 1 species
GACGAACGCUGGCGGCGUGCUUAACACAUGCAAGUCGAACGCUGAAGCCCAGCUUGCUGGGUGGAUGAGUGGCGAACGGGUGAGUAACACGUGAGUAACCUGCCCCCUUCUUUGGGAUAACGCCCGGAAACGGGUGCUAAUACUGGAUAUUCACUGGCCUUCGCAUGGGGGUUGGUGGAAAGGUUUUUUCUGGUGGGGGAUGGGCUCGCGGCCUAUCAGCUUGUUGGUGGGGUGAUGGCCUACCAAGGCUUUGACGGGUAGCCGGCCUGAGAGGGUGACCGGUCACAUUGGGACUGAGAUACGGCCCAGACUCCUACGGGAGGCAGCAGUGGGGAAUAUUGCACAAUGGGCGAAAGCCUGAUGCAGCGACGCCGCGUGAGGGAUGACGGCCUUCGGGUUGUAAACCUCUUUCGCUCAUGGUCAAGCCGCAACUCAAGGUUGUGGUGAGGGUAGUGGGAAAGAGCGCCGCA